UUCUGUCUUCUGCUUCAUAAUGACAACACUCUGGUUCUUCAUCUUCCUCUGCGGAGCCAAUCAGAGCGGCAUCUGGCCCUCCCUGGAUGCGGGUUAUCAUUUUGUAGCGGUGGUUUUCUACCUCAGUGCGUCGGUGAGUCUGGCUAAUAUCACCCUUCUGAGAGGAGGGAUUCAGUUUCCUAAAUGCAACAGCGGUUGGUCUAAAAAUAUACCGACUGGACAUUGCUGCAGUGGUGAUGUCCUAUUUGGCCACUCUUCUCUACUUCAUCCAUGCCAUUUUCUCUGCCAUCCGAUGGAAGAGGUCCUAAUAGGACAAAACACAAACCAAGAACAAGACGACCAAAAUACGAAGAAACCAAAUAAACAGCUGACUUGUCACUUGACUAAACACAGAAUGA